UACGUAGGGGGCAAGCGUUGUCCGGAAUCAUUGGGCGUAAAGCGCGUGUAGGCGGUCCGGUAAGUCGGCUGUGAAAGUCCAGGGCUCAACCCUGGGAUGCCGGUCGAUACUGCCGGACUAGAGUUCGGAAGAGGAGAGUGGAAUUCCCGGUGUAGCGGUGAAAUGCGUAGAUCUCGAGAGGAACACCAGUGGCGAAGGCGGGUCUCUGGACAGCACCUGACGCUGAGGCACGAAAGCCAGGGGAGCAAACGGG
rnacentral:rRNA from 1 species